AUGCUCUUGUUUUCAGUUCCACACAUCUUCCCCAGAGGGAACAUCAGUUUUGCUUAUGAAGAGAAUCGAACAGAACUACAAACUACUCAAAGCUUGCCUGAAGCUACAACUACUUUUCCUGCAGCAAGCACAAUAAAAGCUAAGAUUCCUCCCAAGGCCCCCAGGUGGGAAGGAUAUGAGGGGAGUGAUUACUGGUUUUCAGAAGACAUGGCCAGCUGGCUCAACAGCCGAACCACGUGCAAAACUUGGAAUUCAGAACUCGUGAUCAUCAAUGACAGAAAGGAACUGGAGUUUAUUUCUAACAAAACAAGGAUGGCUGAUUAUUUCAUUGGACUGACAUAUAUGGAGCCUGAAGAACAACAGCCAGCAAGAUGGCAGUGGAAUGAUGGUCGUGAACUCGAGAGGAGCUUGUUUUCUAUGGGACCAUAUGUAAAGGGAAGAGAUUGUGCAACAAUCAGAGCAGGAAAAGGGAGUCCAGUAUCUUGUUAUGAGAAACAUCACUGGAUCUGUGAGAAAAACAACAGAUAAAUUCUUGGUGCAGAAGAAUCUAAUGGAGUGACCUGAUGGCGUAGGAGAGAAAACUGUACCUUGAUGAAUAAAAAUGCUGUUUUCUAACA
rnacentral:lncRNA from 1 species